CCUACGGGUGGCAGCAGUGGGGGAUAUUGCACAAUGGGGGAAACCCUGAUGCAGCGACGCCGCGUGAGUGAAGAAGUAUUUCGGGAUGUAAAGCUCUAUCAGCAGGGAAGAAAAAAGACGGUACCUGACUAAGAAGCACCGGCUAAAUACGUGCCAGCAGCCGCGGUAAUACGUAGGGGGCAAGCGUUAUCCGGAUUUACUGGGGGUAAAGGGAGCGUAGGCGGCAAUACAAGUCGGAAGUGAAAUACCCGGGCUCAACCUGGGAACUGCUUUGGAAACUGGAUGGCUAGAGUGCUGGAGAGGGAGGCAGAAUUCCUGGUGUAGCGGUGAAAUGCGUAGAGAUUAGGAGGAACACCAGUGGCGAAGGCGGCUUACUGGACAGAGACUGACGUUGAGGCGCGAAAGCGUGGGGAGCAAACAGGAUUAGAUACCCGAGUAGUC
rnacentral:rRNA from 1 species